AACAAUCUGCGAUAGUAUUUGGUCAGCCCGAUUUUAGUGCAAUUGAAAUCUCUCAAUCUCUCGAUCCUUUCCUUAAAAUCGUUGUCUGUGAUUAUGCUGGGAAAAUAACUAGUAUCGUUGCAAGGUGGCCUGGACUGGUAGCAGCCACGAUGCCAGGAUCUUUUCUGAGUGUGCACUGAAUUGACAGCUUCAUGCUAGGGCAUAUGAAUAACAGUUGAUUCUUGAAGAUAGACUAUAGGGUAUCCAUGCCUUCCCUGCCUCAUCAGAAGCCAUUUCUUCAUUCAGAGGGUCGACCACAGGAGGUCACUGACGGGAGGCUAUCUCAUCAAUUCAGUUCUCAAUUAACAUAA
rnacentral:lncRNA from 15 species